rnacentral:rRNA from 1 species
CCUACGGGGGGCUGCAGUGGGGAAUAUUGGACAAUGGGCGAAAGCCUGAUCCAGCCAUGCCGCGUGUGUGAAGAAGGCCUUCGGGUUGUAAAGCACUUUCAGUGGGGAAGAAAGCCUUGGGGCUAAUACCCUCGAGGAAGGACAUCACCCACAGAAGAAGCACCGGCUAACUCCGUGCCAGCAGCCGAGGUAAUACGGAGGGUGCGAGCGUUAAUCGGAAUUACUGGGCGUAAAGCGCGCGUAGGCGGUCUGAUAAGCCGGUUGUGAAAGCCCCGGGCUCAACCUGGGAACGGCAUCCGGAACUGUCAGGCUAGAGUGCAGGAGAGGAAGGUAGAAUUCCCGGUGUAGCGGUGAAAUGCGUAGAGAUCGGGAGGAAUACCAGUGGCGAAGGCGGCCUUCUGGACUGACACUGACGCUGAGGUGCGAAAGCGUGGGUAGCAAACAGGAUUAGAUACCCCAGUAGUC